CACGUAGGGGGCGAGCGUUGUCCGGAUUCAUUGGGCGUAAAGCGCGCGCAGGCGGCUCGGAAAGUCGGGUGUGAAAACCUGGGGCUCAACCCCGGGCGUGCAUCCGAUACUGCCGGGCUUGAGGCAGGUAGGGGAGAUCGGAAUUCCCGGUGUAGAGGUGAAAUUCGUAGAUAUCGGGAGGAACACCGGUGGCGAAGGCGGCGACCUGGGUCGAUACUGACGCUGAGGCGCGAAAGCGUGGGGAGCAAACAGG
rnacentral:rRNA from 1 species